UCUCGAUAGUGUAAAAGUUUACGCAAAUUUGUAUGCAGUUCGAACGUUUGCCUACGUUUGCCGCUAGGGGCGCUGUUCCAGCUCCAUACAAAUUUGAGUUAACUUUUACGCUAUCGA
rnacentral:pre_miRNA from 9 species